UGUCAAUCAGGCUAGAGUGUCUCGUACCUCCGGCACUCUGUAAAUUUAACCAGCGCCGCUGAAAAAGCUUAUUAGGAGUCGGCUGUUCAGUUUCUCUGCUUUGUUGAUUGGUCCGACCACCUUCAGGUGAAAGGCAGGAUUAAGGUGGCCAUUCUUCCCUUUCUCCACCGAUGCCUCCGUCCUGAGCAGAAAAAUGAGGACAAGCAAAAAAUAAAACAGAAUCUGACGCCUGAAA